UACGGAGGGUGCAAGCGUUAUCCGGAUUCACUGGGUUUAAAGGGUGCGUAGGCGGGCUUGUAAGUCAGUGGUGAAAGCCCGGGGCUUAACUCCGGAACUGCCGUUGAUACUGCAAGCCUUGAGUACGGUUGAGGUGGGCGGAAUACAUCAUGUAGAGGUGAAAUUCUUAGAUAUGAUGUAGAACACCGAUUGCGAAGGCAGCUCACUAAAGCGUAACUGACGCUGAGGCACGAAAGCGUGGGGAUCAAACAGG
rnacentral:rRNA from 1 species